rnacentral:misc_RNA from 1 species
GAUGAAGAACGUAGCGAAAUGCGAUAAGUAAUGUGAAUUACAGAAUUCAGUGAAUCAUCGAAUCUUUGAACGCACAUUGCGCCCGCCAGUAUUCUGGCGGGCAUGCCUGUUCGAGCGUCAUUUCAACCAUCAAGCCCCCGGCUUGUGUUGGGGACCUGCGGCUGCCGCAGGCCCUGAAAAGCAGUGGCGGGCUCGCUGUCACACCGAGCGUAGUAGCAUACAUCUCGCUCUGGGCGUGCUGCGGGUUCCGGCCGUUAAACCACCUUCAUAACCCAAGGUUGACCUCGGAUCAGGUAGGAAGACCCGCUGAACUUAAGCAUAUCAAUAAGCGGAGGA